rnacentral:rRNA from 1 species
UGAGGAAUAUUGGUCAAUGGGCGAGAGCCUGAACCAGCCACGUCGCGUGAAGGAAGACUGACCUUACGGUUUGUAAACUUCUUUUGUAGAGGGGUAAUGGCAGAUACGUGUAUUUGCGUGAAAGUACUCUACGAAUAAGCAUCGGCUAACUCCGUGCCAGCAGCCGCGGUAAUACGGGGGAUGCGAGCGUUAUCCGGAAUUAUUGGGUUUAAAGGGUGCGCAGGUGGCUAAUCAGGUCAGUGGUGAAAAGCUAUGGCUCAACCAUGGUCUUGCCAUUGAAACCGUAUAGCUAGAGAGGAGACGAGGUAGGCGGAAUGUGUGGUGUAGCGGUGAAAUGCAUAGAUAUCACACAGAACUCCGAUUGCGAAGGCAGCUUACCAGGCUUUAUCUGACACUUAGGCACGACAGCGUGGGGAGCAAACAGG